UAUUAUUUUUGUUAUAUAAAUUUAAAAAAUUUGGCGGUAAAAUAAUUUUUAGGGGAAUUUGCUUUUUAAUUCGAUAAUCCACGUUUUAUCUUACUUUAAUUUAUGAUUUGUAUAAUUCCGUUAUUAGUUUAUUUAGAAAUAACGUAAUAAACUUUUUGUAAUAUAUAUUAAAAACAGGUAAAUAAGCAGUUUAUGUUAAAGGAUCUUGUGAAUUACUUUUUUAGAAUUUUUGAUUAAUCUUUGAAAUAUUAUUAUGAGAUAGAACUUAAAAGUAAUAAUUAAUUAGAAUGUAAUUUUGAAUAUUAAUAAAUUUUAUGU
rnacentral:rRNA from 1 species